rnacentral:misc_RNA from 1 species
GAUGAAGAACGCAGCGAAAUGCGAUAAGUAGUGUGAAUUGCAGAAUUCAGUGAAUCAUCGAAUCUUUGAACGCACAUUGCGCCCGCCAGUAUUCUGGCGGGCAUGCCUGUUCGAGCGUCAUUUCAACCAUCAAGCCCCCCGGCUUGUGUUGGGGACCUGCGGCUGCCGCAGGCCCUGAAAAGCAGUGGCGGGCUCGCUGUCACACCGAGCGUAGUAGCAUACAUCUCGCUCUGGGCGUGCUGCGGGUUCCGGCCGUUAAACCACCUUCAUAACCCAAGGUUGACCUCGGAUCAGGUAGGAAGACCCGCUGAACUUAAGCAUAUCAAUAAGCGGAGGA